AUCUUCAUUCAUUAAAUGAGUUGGAUUUUUUUCCUGGGGUAUGACUACAUGCUUUUUUUGAAUCAAGGAACAUUGUGACCAGACCUAUGUGGAUGGCUGUAAGAACAAAGAAUUCCAAGACCGAGAAGUUUGCAACAACCAGCCACACUCCCUCCCCUUUUAGUAUAAAAGAAGCCUGAAUUCUA